rnacentral:rRNA from 1 species
UGGGGAAUAUUGCGCAAUGGGGGGAACCCUGACGCAGCCAUGCCGCGUGAAUGAAGAAGGCCUUCGGGUUGUAAAGUUCUUUCGGUAUUGAGGAAGGUUGAUGUGUUAAUAGCACAUCAAAUUGACGUUAAAUACAGAAGAAGCACCGGCUAACUCCGUGCCAGCAGCCGCGGUAAUACGGAGGGUGCGAGCGUUAAUCGGAAUAACUGGGCGUAAAGGGCACGCAGGCGGUUAUUUAAGUGAGGUGUGAAAGCCCCGGGCUUAACCUGGGAAUUGCAUUUCAGACUGGGUAACUAGAGUACUUUAGGGAGGGGUAGAAUUCCACGUGUAGCGGUGAAAUGCGUAGAGAUGUGGAGGAAUACCGAAGGCGAAGGCAGCCCCUUGGGAAUGUACGGACGCUCAUGUGCGAAAGCGUGGGGAGCAAACAGGAUUAGAUACCCUGGUAGUCCACGCUGUAAACGCUGUCGAUUUGGGGGUUGGGGUUUAACUCUGGCGCCCGUAGCUAACGUGAUAAAUCGACCGCCUGGGGAGUACGGCCGCAAGGUUA